rnacentral:rRNA from 1 species
GACGAACGCUGGCGGCGUGCUUAACACAUGCAAGUCGAGCGGUAAGGCCCUUCGGGUACGACGAGCGGCGAACGGGUGAGUAACACGUGGGUGACCUGCCUCUAGCUCUGGGAUAAGCCUGGGAAACUGGGUCUAAUACCGGAUAUGACUCCACGGCGCAUGUUGUGGGGUGGAAAGCCUUGUGUGGCUAGAGAUGGGCCCGCGGCCUAUCAGCUUGUUGGUGGGGUGAUGGCCUACCAAGGCGACGACGGGUAGCCGGCCUGAGAGGGCGACCGACCACACUGGGACUGAGACACGGCCCAGACUCCUAUGGGAGGGCAGCAGUGGGGAAUCUUGCGCAAUGGGCGAAAGCCUGACGCAGCGACGCC